AGUGAACGCUGGCGGUAGGCCUAACACAUGCAAGUCGAACGGCAGCACAGUAAGAGCUUGCUCUUACGGGUGGCGAGUGGCGGACGGGUGAGGAAUACAUCGGAAUCUACUUUUUCGUGGGGAUAACGUAGGGAAACUUACGCUAAUACCGCAUACGACCUACGGGUGAAAGCAGGGGAUCUUCGGACCUUGCGCGAUUGAAUGAGCCGAUGUCGGAUUAGCUAGUUGGCGGGGUAAAGGCCCACCAAGGCGACGAUCCGUAGCUGGUCUGAGAGGAUGAUCAGCCACACUGGAACUGAGACACGGUCCAGACUCCUACGGGAGGCAGCAGUGGGGAAUAUUGGACAAUGGGCGCAAGCCUGAUCCAGCCAUACCGCGUGGGUGAAGAAGGCCUUCGGGUUGUAAAGCCCUUUUGUUGGGAAAGAAAAGCAGCAGGUUAAUACCCCGCUGUUCUGACGGUACCCAAAGAAUAAGCACCGGCUAACUUCGU
rnacentral:rRNA from 1 species